AGAGAGAGCGAGAGAGAGACAGAGAUUACAGCUAGAGUGUUUAGCUGAGGAUACACGUCCAGAUCUUUGGGUUUUUAGUCCCUUUGUUUUGUUUUUAAAUGAAAAGAUUUGAGUCCAACAUGGAGACUGAAGCAGCCGUGAGUAUGAGACUGAGAGGCUGUGAUUGAUCUCUACAGGUCUGAACAAGACGUGACAGCUGUUCCCUGAAGUCUCAUCGUAUCAUCGGGAGACAUUGUGACGCCUGAAUAAAACUCUUAGACAAACCAAGGUCUGAAAACAGACAGACGAUGAGUGUUGUCAAGGAACAUUCAGAGGAAAAAGAGCAUAAAGAGGCCGAGGACGAUGCAAUCAAAGAACUCGACCCCGCAGACAAGAAGGACGAAAACAUGGAGACCAAGGACGUUCUGAAGACGACUAAGAAAGACUGGAGGACGAUCGGCCCACUGAGUCUUUUCAAAGAGGAAAUACUGAAAGUGUUCAGAGACUCGAGUCAGACUGAAGAUAGACCUGUCAGCAGCACAAUGGACCUGCUGAAGGAGGACCUGAGCCAGUUCAAAGAAGACGUGACAAGUGUCUUCAUGUCCACCAGGGACAAAGACAGCAAGUCUGCACAUCCCAAAAGCAGUCAGUCGGCAGAGAAACCAAACAACCUGCUGAGUUCAUUUAGAGGAGACCUCUCGAACGUCUUCAGAUUCAGUCUUUCUAAGGACAGACACGCUGCAAAGGACGACCAAAGGAAGGCUGGAAGAACCGCAGAACCCUUAAAGAGUCUGACUCCAAAAGAGAGUCCUCAAAGAGCAGAGGAACCCUUAAAGAGUCUGAGUCCAAAAAAGACUUCUCAAAGAGCAGAGGAACCCUUAAAGAGUCUGAGUCCAAAAGAGACUUCUCAAAGAGCAGAGGAACCCUUAAAGAGUCUGAUUCCUAAAGAGAGUCCUCAAAGAACAGAGGAACCCUUAAAGAGUCUGACUCCAAAAGAGACUCAAAGACCAGAGGAACCCUUAAAGAGUCUGAUUCCUAAAGAGAGUCCUCAAAGAGCAGAGGACCCCUUAAAGAGUCUGAUUCCGAAAGAGACUCCUCAAAGAGCAGAGGAACCCUUAAAGAGUCUGAUUCCGAAAGAGAGUCCUCAAAGAGCAGAGGAACCCUUAAAGAGUCUGACUCCAAAAGAGACUCAAAGAGCAGAGGAACCCUUAAAGAGUCUGAUUCCUAAAGAGAGUCCUCAAAGAGCAGAGGAACCCUUAAAGAGUCUGAGUCCAAAAGAGACUCCUCAAACAGCAGAGGAACCCUCAAAGAGUCUGAUUCCUAAAGAGACUUCUCAAAGGGCAGAGGAACCCUUAAAGAGCCAGUCGGCGGAGAAACCAAACAACCUGCUGAGUUCCUUUAGAGAAGACCUCUCGAAUGUCUUCAGAUUCAGUCUUUCCAAGGACAGAGACGCCGCAAAGGAUGACCAAAGGAAGGCUGGAAGAACCGAGGAACCCUUAAAGAGUCUGAUUCCAAAAGAGACUCCUCAAAGACCAGAGGAACCCUUAAAGAGUCUGACUCCAAAAGAGACUCGUCAAAGGGCAGAGGAACCCUUAAAGAGUCUGAUUCCUAAAGAGACUCCUGAAAGAGCAGAGGAACCCUUAAAGAGUCUGACUCCAAAAGAGACUCCUGAAAGAGCAGAGGAACCCUUAAAGAGUCUGAUUCCAAAAGAGACUCCUGAAAGAGCAGAGGAACCCUUAAAGAGUCUGACUCCAAAAGAGACUCCUCAAAGAGCAGAGGAACCCUUAAAGAGUCUGACUCCAAAAGAGAGUCCUCAAAGAGCAGAGGAACCCUUAAAGAGUCUGACUCCAAAAGAGACUCCUCAAAGACCAGAGGAACCCUUAAAGAGUCCGAUUCCUAAAGAGACUUUUCAAAGAGCAGAGGAACCCUUAAAGAGUCUGACUCAAAAAGAGACUCAAAGACCAGAGGAACCCUUAAAGAGUCUGAUUCCUAAAGAGACUCCUCAAAGAGCAGAGGAACCCUUAAAGAGUCUGACUCCAAAAGAGACUCAAAGAGCAGAGGAACCCUUAAAGAGUCUGAUUCCUAAAGAGACUCCUCAAAGAGCAGGGGAACCCUUGAAGAGUCUGACUCCAAAAGAGACUCAAAGAGCAGAGGAACCCUUAAAGAGUCUGAUUCCUAAAGAGACUCCUGAAAGAGCAGAGGAACCCUUAAAGAGUCUGAUUCCUAAAAAGAGUCCUCAAAGAGCAGAGGAACCCUUAAAGAGUCUGAUUCCUAAAGAGAGUCCUCAAAGAGCAGAGGAACCCUUAAAGAGUCAGAUUCCAAAAGAGACAAAGACUCCUCAAAGAGCAAAGGAACCCUCAAAGAGUCUGAUUCCUAAAGAGACUUCUCAAAGGGCAGAGGAACCUUUAAAGAGUCAGUCGGCGGAGAAACCAAACAACCUGCUGAGUUCCUUUAGAGAAGACCUCUCGAACGUCUUCAGAUUCAGUCUUUCCAAGGACAGAAACGCUGCAAAGGAUGACCAAAGGAAGGCUGGAAGAACCGAGGAACCCUUAAAGAGUCUAACUCCAAAAGAGACUCAAAGACCAGAGGAACCCUUAAAGAGUCUGAUUCCUAAAGAGACUUUUCAAAGAGCAGAGGAACCCUUAAAGAGUCUGACUCAAAAAGAGACUCCUCAAAGACCAGAGGAACCCUUAAAGAGUCCGAUUCCUAAAGAGACUUUUCAAAGAGCAGAGGAACCCUUAAAGAGUCUGAUUCCUAAAGAGACUUUUCAAAGAGCAGAGGAACCCUUAAAGAGUCUGAUUCCUAAAGAGACUUUUCAAAGAGCAGAGGAACCCUUAAAGAGUCUGAUUCCUAAAGAGACUUUUCAAAGAGCAGAGGAACCCUUAAAGAGUCUGACUCCAAAAGAGACUCAAAGAACAGAGGAACCCUUAAAGAGUCUGACUCCAAAUGAGACUUCUCAAAGGGCAGAGGAACCCUUAAAGAGUCAGUCGGCAGAGAAACCAAACAACCUGCUGAGUUCCUUUAGAGAAGACCUCUCGAACGUCUUCAGAUUCAGUCUUUCCAAGGACAGAGACGCUGCAAAGGACGACCAAAGGAAGGCUGGAAGAACCGAGGAACCCUUAAAGAGUCUGAUUCCAAAAGAGAGUCCUCAAAGAGCAGAGGAACCCUUAAAGAGUCUGAUUCCUAAAGAGACUCCUCAAAGACCAGAGGAACCCUUAAAGAGUCUGAUUCCUAAAGAGACUCCUCAAAGAGCAGAGGAACCCUUAAAGAGUCCAACUCCAAAACAGAGUCCUGAAAGAGCAGAGGAACCCUUAAAGAGUCUGAUUCCAAAAAAGAGUCCUCAAAGGGCAGAGGAACCCUUAAAGAGUCUGAUUCCAAAAGAGAGUCCUCAAAGAGCAGAGGAACCCUUAAAUAGUCUGACUCCAAAAGAGAGUCCUCAAAGACCAGAGGAACCCUUAAAGAGUCUGACUCCAAAAGAGAGUCCUCAAAGAACAGAGGAACCGUUAAAGAGUCUGAUUCCAAAAGAGACUCCUGAAAGAGCAGAGGAACCCUUAAAGAGUCCGACUCCAAAAGAGAGUCCUGAAAGAACAGAGGAACCCUUAAAGAGUCUGACUCCAAAAGAGACUCAAAGACCAGAGGAACCUUUAAAGAGUCUGACUCCAAAAGAGAGUCCUCAAAGACCAGAGGAACCCUUAAAGAGUCUGACUCCAAAAGAGAGUCCUCAAAGAACAGAGGAACCGUUAAAGAGUCUGACUCCAAAAGAGAGUCCUCAAAGACCAGAGGAACCCUUAAAGAGUCUGAUUCCAAAAGAGACUCCUCAAAGAGCAGAGGACGGUCAGGGAGGGAAAGAGACACUUUCAGAGCUCAGGGAGGAACUAACAGACAACAAUGGAUUCAGCGGAAAUCUCUCAGAGACGGUCGACAACGAGCCAAUCGGCAACAUGAAAGAAAAGAUGGACGAACCAGAGGACAGCGAAGUGGACGUGAGCGUCUCAGAGGAGAAAACUGAAAGUCUGUCAGAAACACGAGGAAGUGAGGAGGUGAUUCCUUCAGAUAACCAGCCGACAGCGGAGCAGAGAUGUGAGAUCGAAGAGAGAAGCGACGACUUCUCGGUGGUGUCAGAAGAAGAGAUGACCAAAGGAAAGGAGGCAGAAGAAGAAAGAGGUGAGGAAGAACAAAAGAAAGAAGAAGAAGAAGAAGAAGAAGACAAAGAGGAUGUAGAACAAGAGGAAGAAGGUGAAGAAGACGUAGAAUCACCACCGGAGACUCUUCUGUCUCUGUCGUCUGUGAUCAGUCUCUUUAACCUGAGAGACCAAACCAAAGACGACACGAGGGCUCAUGAAGUCGACGUGUGGUCUGUGAAAAACUUCGCCUGCUAUUUGACCUUUGACCCAAACACUGCUAACUCAGAGCUCCAUCUGACGGACGGAAACAGGAAGGCGACCCGAGUGUGGUCGGACCAUCGACCCUCAAACCACCCGGACCGGUUUGAGCGCUGUCCCCAGGUCCUGUGCAGGGAGGGGCUGCUGGACUCGGUGUACUGGGAAGUGGAGUGGAGUGGGGGGGCAGAUAUCGGCGUCGCCUACAACAACAUCAGCAGGGAUGGAGACUCGGCGAGCUGCCUGCUGGGACACAAUGAGCGCUCCUGGAGUCUGGAGUGUUCGGAGGGAAGCUACACGCCGUGUCACGAUAACAAGAGGUUCAAGUCGUCCUCGCUACAACCCUUCACACGCAGAGUCGGGGUUCACCUCGACUGGUCUGCAGGGGCUCUGUCCUUCUACUGCGUCUCUAAGGACACCAUGGUUCACCUGCACACCUUCACCUCCAGCUUCCAUGAGCCUCUGUACCCGGCUUUCUGGGUCUGGACCUAUGACGGCUCAGUGGCGCUGAGUCAGGUGGAGCUAGACUGGGAACGAAUGCUGCAGUGAACCAGGAGCAGCAGGUUCAGCCCCGGGGUUGGGUCAAAGGUCAAAGCUGGAGGUACGACCCCGACUAAGAAGCACUGACCUACAGUUAAGGUGUGGUGGGUGAAGAAGGCGGGUCACAGAUGAGCAGAACGAUGGUGGAAGUUUAUGGUUAGCAGCCAUGUUAGCAUUUCAGACCCUGUGAGGGGUGUACUACUCAAUCCAGCCAAUGUCUUCCAAAAACAUUUAGUCAAAGCUAAAGUUUAGCGCUGAAAGCACCAAAAAAAUAUUCAGCUACAAAGAGAAGAGUUCUCACAGAGUGAAACGAAGAUCUUGAAUAAAGAAAGGUCGGUAAGUGACUGAUUGAAAGCUUAGUUUCCAUCAUUAGACAAACAAGUUGAAACUGUUUGAUAUAAACAUUAAACUGAUGAAACAUUUCACUUCCUUCUGUCUCCACACUGUGUGCAAACCACUUCCUGGUUUCAUAGUUUAGACUCUGAUGGUCGAACUUCCAUAAAACUGGACUGAAGCGUUAAGAGUCACCGUACAGAUCCACUGGUGAUAGCGUCUCAACGCUUUCUAGUCAUUACCUAUGGAGAGCUGGAGAGGAUGUGGCACAGUGCAUGUGCAAAUGAGUCCAGGGUCCGCCCGGACUAGCCCCGUGUUUAUCCAAUCAGGUGCAUUCAUUGAGGCUACUUCACCUAUUGCAACACCUGCAGUGAAAAACUGGGCUAUCGAGAUUGGGUGGAGAGGUCCAAGAGGAAAUCAGAACAAGCCCGUCAAGCGGCGAGUUGAGUGCGAUCCCUAGUGUCCCUGCCUGAAGCAAAGGAGCCGUAACGUUCCUCUGGCUUCAUCUUAAAAGCCUCCCGUGGACAGGUGCUAGCAUUUUGCUAAAAACACUAAGAGCAGUAUCUGGGACUUGUGCAUGGUUAAAUGUUACAGCACCAAUGUUACUAUGUCAAAUGAAUAAAUCGAUUUUCCCUUCAGCACUGCUCAGGUACAAGAUCACAUUACACCUCCUAAUACAAACAAUCCUCACCUGGACGGGAACACAUGGGUCACAUUGGGUCUCGUCAGCUGUUUCAUGAAUCUCUAUAAUUUCACCUUAAGAGCUAAAACUGUUGAAAACUUGCCUGCAGCAAAGAGACUGAACUCCCAGCACGAUGUUUCUACAGCGGGGCGCGAUCGUUUAUGAACUUGCCUUUAUAGAAUCUGCCAACAGAUUCUGCAGCUGUGUGUGUGUGUGUGUGUGUGUGUGUGUGUGUGUGUGUUAAUGUAUAUGUCUGACCUGUAGCUGGCUCUCCUGACUCCCUCGGGCCUCAUGCAGCUCCUUCUCCAGCUGCUCCAGACGAGAAACACGCAUCUGAAACACACACACACACACACACACACACACACACACACACACACACACACACACACACACACACACACACACACACACACACACACACACACACACACACACACACACACACACACACACACACACGGUUCAGACACCUCCAGAUGUGCUCUGCCUCCAUCGACCAGCUGGCCGUGUAAACAAUGAGCCUCCAUCUCACCUGGGUCCUCUGAACGACCUCGUCGCUGGUGCCAAAGCGCUCCUCCAUCACGGACUGAACCUGCUGAGCCUCAAACUCCAGCUGCUGUCGGAUCAGAUCCAUCUGCAGAGAGAACUGCA